AUCUGGAAUCCCAUACAAAUAUGUUUGGAUUGCUGAAGUAAUUGCAGAUUCGUAUUCAUUAAAGCCGAGCGGAAUGACACUUCGAUGGAAUGAACUGCACUACAAAGGUACAAAAUGAAAGGAAAAGGAAAUCAAUGAAAAACACGAUGAUUUUUAUAACAUUCAUAACAUCUGGCCAAUAUUUUAUUAACGAAAGAUUGAACAUUGCUAGAUAUCCUAAAAUAAGUUUUCUUUUGUCGGAAACAAAUUAGCAAAGUUGUGAAAAUUGUGAUAUAGUUUUCGCUAAAUUGUUUUCCUGGUAUGCUAACUAAAAUUACGUUGACUACAACAAUACGAUCUAUAAACAAUAAAUAAUUCUUUUUACACAAAACUAAUGAUGAAGUGAAGUUUGCAGUCAUAAUUUAUAAU